UACGUAGGGUGCAGGCGUUAAUCGGAAUUACUGGGCGUAAAGCGUGCGCAGGCGGUUUCUUAAGUCAGAUGUGAAAGCCCCGGGCUUAACCUGGGAACUGCGUUUGAAACUGGGAGACUUGAGUGUGGCAGAGGGGGGUGGAAUUCCACGUGUAGCAGUGAAAUGCGUAGAUAUUUGGAGGAACACCGAUGGCGAAGGCAGCCCCCUGGGUUAACACUGACGCUCAUGCACGAAAGCGUGGGGAGCAAACAGG
rnacentral:rRNA from 1 species